AGUUGCGAACGGGUGAGUAACGCGUAGGUAACCUGCCUUGUAGCGGGGGAUAACUAUUGGAAACGAUAGCUAAUACCGCAUAACAAUGGAUGACACAUGUCAUUUAUUUGAAAGGGGCAAUUGCUCCACUACAAGAUGGACCUGCGUUGUAUUAGCUAGUAGGUGAGGUAAUGGCUCACCUAGGCGACGAUACAUAGCCGACCUGAGAGGGUGAUCGGCCACACUGGGACUGAGACACGGCCCAGACUCCUACGGGAGGCAGCAGUAGGGAAUCUUCGGCAAUGGGGGCAACCCUGACCGAGCAACGCCGCGUGAGUGAAGAAGGUUUUCGGAUCGUAAAGCUCUGUUGUAAGUCAAGAACGGGUGUGAGAGUGGAAAGUUCACACUGUGACGGUAGCUUACCAGAAAGGGACGGCUAACUACGUGCCAGCAGCCGCGGUAAUACGUAGGUCCCGAGCGUUGUCCGGAUUUAUUGGGCGUAAAGCGAGCGCAGGCGGUUUGAUAAGUCUGAAGUUAAAGGCUGUGGCUCAACCAUAGUUCGCUUUGGAAACUGUCAAACUUGAGUGCAGAAGGGGAGAGUGGAAUUCCAUGUGUAGCGGUGAAAUGCGUAGAUAUAUGGAGGAACACCGGUGGCGAAAGCGGCUCUCUGGUCUGUAACUGACGCUGAGGCUCGAAAGCGUGGGGAGCGAACAGGAUUAGAUACCCUGGUAGUCCACGCCGUAAACGAUGAGUGCUAGGUGUUGGAUCCUUUCCGGGAUUCAGUGCCGCAGCUAACGCAUUAAGCACUCCGCCUGGGGAGUACGACCGCAAGGUUGAAACUCAAAGGAAUUGACGGGGGCCCGCACAAGCGGUGGAGCAUGUGGUUUAAUUCGAAGCAACGCGAAGAACCUUACCAGGUCUUGACAUCCCGAUGCUAUUUCUAGAGAUAGAAAGUUACUUCGGUACAUCGGUGACAGGUGGUGCAUGGUUGUCGUCAGCUCGUGUCGUGAGAUGUUGGGUUAAGUCCCGCAACGAGCGCAACCCCUAUUGUUAGUUGCCAUCAUUCAGUUGGGCACUCUAGCGAGACUGCCGGUAAUAAACCGGAGGAAGGUGGGGAUGACGUCAAAUCAUCAUGCCCCUUAUGACCUGGGCUACACACGUGCUACAAUGGUUGGUACAACGAGUUGCGAGUCGGUGACGGCGAGCUAAUCUCUUAAAGCCAAUCUCAGUUCGGAUUGUAGGCUGCAACUCGCCUACAUGAAGUCGGAAUCGCUAGUAAUCGCGGAUCAGCACGCCGCGGUGAAUACGUUCCCGGGCCUUGUACACACCGCCCGUCACACCACG
rnacentral:rRNA from 1 species